GACGAACGCUGGCGGCGUGCUUAACACAUGCAAGUCGAACGGAAAGGCCCUGCUUUUGUGGGGUGCUCGAGUGGCGAACGGGUGAGUAACACGUGAGUAACCUGCCCUUGACUUUGGGAUAACUUCAGGAAACUGGGGCUAAUACCGGAUAGGAGCUCCUGCUGCAUGGUGGGGGUUGGAAAGUUUCGGCGGUUGGGGCUGGACUCGCGGCUUAUCAGCUUGUUGGUGGGGUAGUGGCUUACCAAGGCUUUGACGGGUAGCCGGCCUGAGAGGGUGACCGGCCACAUUGGGACUGAGAUACGGCCCAGACUCCUACGGGAGGCAGCAGUGGGGAAUAUUGCACAGUGGGCGGAAGCCUGAUGCAGCAACGCCGCGUGCGGGAUGACGGCCUUCGGGUUGUAAACCGCUUUCGCCUGUGACGAAGCGUGAGUGACGGUAAUGGGUAAAGAAGCACCGGCUAACUACGUG
rnacentral:rRNA from 1 species